rnacentral:tRNA from 1 species
GUGGGUAUAGCUCAGUGGUGGAGCAUGUGCCUAGUAUGCAUGAGUUCCUGGGUUCAAUCUCCAGUACCUCCG